GAUGAACGCUGGCGGCGUGCUUAACACAUGCAAGUCGAACGGAGAGGCCAGUGCUUGCACUGGUGCUCGAGUGGCGAACGGGUGAGUAACACGUGGGUGAUCUGCCCUGCACUUUGGGAUAAGCCUGGGAAACUGGGUCUAAUACCAGAUAGGACCAUGCUUUGGAUGGUGUGGUGGAAAGUUUUUUCGGUGUGGGAUGAGCUUGCGGCCUAUCAGCUUGUUGGUGGGGUAAUGGCCUACCAAGGCGUCGACGGGUAGCCGGCCUGAGAGGGUGUACGGCCACAUUGGGACUGAGAUACGGCCCAGACUCCUACGGGAGGCAGCAGUGGGGAAUAUUGCACAAUGGGCGCAAGCCUGAUGCAGCGACGCCGCGUGGGGGAUGACGGCCUUCGGGUUGUAAACUCCUUUCGCAACUGACGAAGCUUUUUGUGACGGUAGGUUGAGAAGAAGCACCGGCUAACUACGUG
rnacentral:rRNA from 1 species